CUGGUUUGUCACUUCCUGGUUCUAAACGUGCCUUGUUAGCACAGUGGCCUCCCUGGUCUGGGUGGAGCUGACGGAGAGCUGCAGACCUGGAUCGAACCGGCUGCUCAUACCUCUGCCGGCACAGUGAGGCCCGUCAAGCCAUUAGCGAGUCCCAGCACUGAUAAUGAAGCCACAGAGGUGGUCUGAGCCAGUGUGACGCAGGAGCUGGAGCGCAGGAGGAAGGUAGAUUAGGAUAAUUACCUGGCCAUGGGGGCACGAUGACAAAGACUCACUUCCUGCAGGCUUCAAUCGUGGAGGGGCACAAUAUAAUCAGGUGUCCUCACAUGUAUGUACUGUACGUGUUUAUUUGCUGUUUAUGUGGUGUAGGUUCCUCACACAUACUGUAAGUAAGUCCUAAAUAUCCACACUCAUGGAGACUUUGAAGAGCGUAUGAGGUCAGGUUUUUAAAUUAUGGUCUGCACCCACACCAGGCUUUCUCUCCCCACUCCUGUUAAUCCAUUUUCCACACAAUGCAUUUCAAAUCAAAGCAGCGUCACCAUAACAUGCCUUAGGAAACAUUAAGCCAUAGUGCGCUACUUUCAUGUAUGAUAGCAUAGCCCCUGUAUGCUUUGAUGUGCUCACUUUUUUUAAUGCUUUAUUAAUAAUAACACACUGGUUCCUUCUUAUACCAACAUCAGCUUCUGGUGCUCCUUCUUUCUCUCCUCCCGAACCCCAUCCCUCUCUCCCUCCAUGCCUCGGCUCCUUCAUCCCUCCCCAGCUCCUCAGUCUUGUCUCGGGAUUGGCCUGCUUGUGUUCGGGAGCUGGAUUAGCAGGACUGAUAUAGGCCUCAAGAUGAAGAGAGUGAAAAAAGACCUAUGAGAGGGCAGAGAGUGCGGAGCGCUGCACCACCAUUGGUUGCUGUUCAAAUCAGACACGUCUUCAUUUCCUUCAACCAUCCUCUGCGAGUGCCUGGCUUUCAUUUCCAUGCCCGGGGAGGGUAGC